AUGAAUGCGGGCGGAGUGUGGGCAAUAAAUCCCCACCGCCCGGUGGCUGGGAAACGUAACGCAUCCAAAUUCCCACCCUCUCCCACAGCAACGAGUGAACCCUUGCUCAGGAGAGCCGAGGCGAUGGCGGAUUGGAGGAUGAAGAUGGAGAGGGCCAUCGUAGAGCUGGCGAGCGGCGACGAAGCGAAGCUGGCGAGGGCUCGCGAGGUGGUGUCCUGGUUCGCCACAAGGAGAGAGAUGCGACGUGCAGCGAAGAGGGUCUUCAGGAACCUGACCGUGGAGGAAGACGAGAGGCUCGCCCCCAACGGAUUCACCACUCCGACGGGUGCCCCGGUGAGCGCUCUGGCCGCGUUGGUUUGGGCCAUGGAGGAAAUAGAGUCGGGGGAUCCAUCCCAGAGGGCGAAGUGGUGGGGAUUCAGAUCCCGCCGCCGCCACCCUGCGGGACCAGAGGAGUUCGUGGUCGGGGCGGUGAUGGCGAUCCCCACCCCCAGGACUCGCUGGGUUCCGAUCCCGAUCGAAGACAGCGAGGAGGAGCUGGAUUCGGAGAUGGAGGAGCUAGAGCAGAUUCCAGAUCUGGGCGAGAGCAGUGGCGGGGGGAAGAAGAAGGAGAAGGUGCUGUUGCCAAGGCGAUCCCCUCGCUUCCUGCGCCGCUCACCAGGCCUCCUCAACCUCUCCAAACCUCCAGCGAUGUAG
rnacentral:rRNA from 1 species